rnacentral:rRNA from 1 species
GACGAACGCUGGCGGCGCGCCUAACACAUGCAAGUCGAACGAGCGAGAGAGAGCUUGCUUUCUCGAGCGAGUGGCGAACGGGUGAGUAACGCGUGAGGAACCUGCCUCAAAGAGGGGGACAACAGUUGGAAACGACGUGCUAAUACCGCAUAAGCCCACAGCUCGGCACCGUAGCAGAGGGAAAAGGAGUGAUCCGCUUUGAGAUGGCCUCGCGUCCGAUUAGCUGGUUGGUGAGGUAACGGCCCACCAAGGCGACGAUCGGUAGCCGGACUGAGAGGUUGAACGGCCACAUUGGGACUGAGACACGGCCCAG